rnacentral:rRNA from 1 species
GACGAACGCUGGCGGCGUGCUUAACAUAUGCAAGUAGAACGGAAAGGUUCUGCUUGUAGGGUAUUAGAGUGGGGAACGGGUGAGUAAAAAGUGGGUGAUAUGUGAUGCACUUUGGGAUAAGCCUGGGAAAAUGGGUCUAAUACCGGAUAGGAGCCAUUUUUAGUGUGAUGGUUGGAAAGUUUUUUCGGUGUAGGAUGAGCUCGCGGCCUAUCAGCUUGUUGGUGGGGUAAUGGCCUACCAAGGCGGCGACGGGUAGCCGGCCUGAGAGGGUGGACGGCCACAUUGGGACUGAGAUACGGCCCAGACUCCUACGGGAGGCAGCAGGUGGGAAUAUUGCACAAUGGGCGCAAGCCUGAUGCAGCGACGCCGCGUGGUUAAUGACGCCCUUCUUGUUGUAAACUCCUUUCGCUAGGUACAAAGCUUUUUGUGACGGUACCUAGAUAAAAAGCACCGAAUAACUACGUGC